rnacentral:rRNA from 1 species
AUGAACGCUAGCUACAGGCUUAACACAUGCAAGUCGAGGGGCAGCAUUUUAGUUUGCUUGCAAACUGAAGAUGGCGACCGGCGCACGGGUGAGUAACACGUAUCCAACCUGCCGAUAACUCCGGAAUAGCCUUUCGAAAGAAAGAUUAAUACCGGAUAGUAUACGAAUAUCGCAUGAUAUUUUUAUUAAAGAAUUUCGGUUAUCGAUGGGGAUGCGUUCCAUUAGUUUGUUGGCGGGGUAACGGCCCACCAAGACUACGAUGGAUAGGGGUUCUGAGAGGAAGGUCCCCCACAUUGGAACUGAGACACGGUCCAAACUCCUACGGGAGGCAGCAGUGAGGAAUAUUGGUCAAUGGGCGCGAGCCUGAACCAGCCAAGUAGCGUGAAGGAUGAAGGCUCUAUGGGUCGUAAACUUCUUUUAUAUGGGAAUAAAGUUUUCCACGUGUGGAAUUUUGUAUGUACCAUAUGAAUAAGGAUCGGCUAACUCCGUGCCAGCAGCCGCGGUAAUACGGAGGAUCCGAGCGUUAUCCGGAUUUAUUGGGUUUAAAGGGAGCGUAGGUGGAUUGUUAAGUCAGUUGUGAAAGUUUGCGGCUCAACCGUAAAAUUGCAGUUGAAACUGGCAGUCUUGAGUACAGUAGAGGUGGGCGGAAUUCGUGGUGUAGCGGUGAAAUGCUUAGAUAUCACGAAGAACUCCGAUUGCGAAGGCAGCUCACUAGACUGUCACUGACACUGAUGCUCGAAAGUGUGGGUAUCAAACAGGAUUAGAUACCCUGGUAGUCCACACAGUAAACGAUGAAUACUCGCUGUUUGCGAUAUACAGUAAGCGGCCAAGCGAAAGCAUUAAGUAUUCCACCUGGGGAGUACGCCGGCAACGGUGAAACUCAAAGGAAUUGACGGGGGCCCGCACAAGCGGAGGAACAUGUGGUUUAAUUCGAUGAUACGCGAGGAACCUUACCCGGGCUUGAAAGUUACUGACGAUUCUGGAAACAGGAUUUCCCUUCGGGGCAGGAAACUAGGUGCUGCAUGGUUGUCGUCAGCUCGUGCCGUGAGGUGUCGGCUUAAGUGCCAUAACGAGCGCAACCCUUAUCUUUAGUUACUAACAGGUUAUGCUGAGGACUCUAGAGAGACUGCCGUCGUAAGAUGUGAGGAAGGUGGGGAUGACGUCAAAUCAGCACGGCCCUUACGUCCGGGGCUACACACGUGUUACAAUGGGGGGUACAGAAGGCGGCUACCUGGUGACAGGAUGCUAAUCCCAAAAACCUCUCUCAGUUCGGAUCGAAGUCUGCAACCCGACUUCGUGAAGCUGGAUUCGCUAGUAAUCGCGCAUCAGCCAUGGCGCGGUGAAUACGUUCCCGGGCCUUGUACACACCGCCCGUCAAGCCAUGAAAGCCGGGGGUACCUGAAGUACGUAACCGCAAGGAGCGUCCUAGGGUAAAACUGGUAAUUGGGGCU